rnacentral:rRNA from 1 species
CGUAAGGCGCCGAAUGAGUCAUUAAAAAAUUAACAUCAUCCGAUCCCUAGUCGGCAUAGUUUAUGGUUAAGACUACGACGGUAUCUGAUCGUCUUCGAUCCCCCUAACUUUCGUUCUUGAUUAAUGAAAACAUCCUUGGCAAAUGCUUUCGCAGUAGUUAGUCUUCAAUAAAUCCAAGAAUUUCACCUCUGACAAUUGAAUACUAAUGCCCCCAACUAUCCCUAUUAAUCAUUACGUCAAUCCUAGAAACCAACAAAAUAGGAUCGAACGUCCUAUUUCAUUAUUCCAUGCUAAUGUAUUCAAGCGUUAGCCUGCUUUAAACACUCUAAUUUUUCAAGUAACAGUCCAGAUUCCCUGCAACACCAAAUUAAUGGCAUUACAGCUCAUCAGGAAGGAGGAGCCAGUAAGACCAGUGCAUACCAGUGGCACGACCAAUCUACUGACCCCGAAAUUCAACUACGAGCUUUUAACUGCAACAACUUUAAUAUACGCUAUUGGAGCUGGAAUUACCGCGG